GACGAACGCUGGCGGCGUGCUUAACACAUGCAAGUCGAACGGAAAGGCCCCCACCUUGGUGGGGGUGCUCGAGUGGCGAACGGGUGAGUAACACGUGGGUGAUCUGCCCUGUACUUCGGGAUAAGCUUGGGAAACUGGGUCUAAUACCGGAUAGGACCAUGGUUUAGUGUCUCAUGGUGGAAAAAUUAUUGUUUUGGUGCAGGAUGAGCUCGCGGCCUAUCAGCUUGUUGGUGGGGUAAUGGCCUACCAAGGCGUCGACGGGUAGCCGGCCUGAGAGGGUGGACGGCCACAUUGGGACUGAGAUACGGCCCAGACUCCUACGGGAGGCAGCAGUGGGGAAUAUUGCACAAUGGGCGCAAGCCUGAUGCAGCGACGCCGCGUGGGGGAUGACGGCCUUCGGGUUGUAAGCUCCUUUCGUUAGGGACGAAGCCACACCUUUUUUGGGUGUGGUGACGGUACCUUUGUUAAGAAGCACCGGCUAACUACGUG
rnacentral:rRNA from 1 species